GGUGCGGUCGGCGGGGCGGUGAGCGCGGGGCUGCUGUCGCUGGCCUCGGAGGCGGCGACGUACGCGGUGUUCGGGGCGCUGGCCCUGCUG
rnacentral:tRNA from 1 species